AUUGAACGCUGGCGGAAUGCUUUACACAUGCAAGUCGAACGGUAGAGGGGGCAACCCCCUUGAGAGUGGCGAACGGGUGAGUAAUAUAUCGGAACGUGCCCAGUCGUGGGGAUAACGUAGCGAAAGUUACGCUAAUACCGCAUACGAUCUAAGGAUGAAAGCGGGGGAUCGCAAGACCUCGCGCGAUUGGAGCGGCCGAUAUCAGAUUAGGUAGUUGGUGAGGUAAAGGCUCACCAAGCCAACGAUCUGUAGCUGGUCUGAGAGGACGACCAGCCACACUGGAACUGAGACACGGUCCAGACUCCUACGGGAGGCAGCAGUGGGGAAUUUUGGACAA
rnacentral:rRNA from 1 species